GACGUUGAUAGGCUGGGUGUGUAAGCGUUGUGAGGCGUUGAGCUAACCAGUACUAAUUGCCCGGUGGAGGCUUGACCAUA
rnacentral:rRNA from 1 species